rnacentral:tRNA from 1 species
GGUAUAGUAGCUCAGUGGUAGAGCACUUGCCUAGCAUGUUCAAGUCCCUGAGUUCAAUUCUCAGCACUG